rnacentral:tRNA from 1 species
GAGGAUAUAGCUCAAGUGGUAGAGCACAUGCUUAGCAUGCACAGGGUCCUGGGUUCAAUCUCCAGUACCUCCA